rnacentral:rRNA from 1 species
GAUGAACGCUGGCGGCGUGCCUAAUACAUGCAAGUCGAGCGAACAGACGAGGAGCUUGCUCCUCUGACGUUAGCGGCGGACGGGUGAGUAACACGUGGAUAACCUACCUAUAAGACUGGGAUAACUUCGGGAAACCGGAGCUAAUACCGGAUAAUAUAUUGAACCGCAUGGUUCAAUAGUGAAAGACGGUUUUGCUGUCACUUAUAGAUGGAUCCGCGCCGCAUUAGCUAGUUGGUAAGGUAACGGCUUACCAAGGCAACGAUGCGUAGCCGACCUGAGAGGGUGAUCGGCCACACUGGAACUGAGACACGGUCCAGACUCCUACGGGAGGCAGCAGUAGGGAAUCUUCCGCAAAGGGCGAAAGCUUGACGGAGCAACGCCGCGUGAGUGAUGAAGGUCUUCGGAUCGUAAAACUCUGUUAUUAGGGAAGAACAAAUGUGUAAGUAACUAUGUACGUCUUGACGGUACCUAAUCAGAAAGCCACGGCUAACUACGUG